rnacentral:misc_RNA from 1 species
UGAUAGGAGACUAUGUUGUGGUACCCUACCAGGUAAAUUUGAAAUAAUGGCAGUUGAUACACACGCAUAAAUAUAAUUUUGUCCAUAAUUUUUUUUAAAUGUCGGUUUAGUCUAUGGAAUAAGUGAAAAGGUUGAUGCCUAGAUAUAAAAGAAAGAGACUCAUCAGAGGAGAGUUGAAGUAAAUAAAUUUUGGUUGAUUGUGGCAAUUUAGCUACAAUUUAAGGGGAACCACCACAGUAUACCGUGGGGAUUUAAAAUUGAAGGUGGAGGUAAGUGUUAGAUGUCUGACUUAACCCAUACAAAAACCUUAAGGAUGAUUAUGAAACAUUGCAGCUGACUAGCCAAUCUGAACCAGCAGAAAAGCAAGGAUAUACAUACAAAACAGCAGCUAAAGAUCAGUUGAAACUACAUAUAUUUGUCUGUUGCAUUUGAGUUAUUAGAUUUGAAUUUUCAAGCAAAAAAUUUGAGCCAUCCAAAACUACAACUCCUUUCCAGGAGGGGCAAGAGUUUGGUCAGCAGGAAUGUGAUGGCAAUAGCAUCAAACACUCCAGUGCUUUACCCCUUUCUCCUCUCACCCACCCACUGUUCCCAUGAUUUUUUCUUACCAUGGGAGAGUGAGGAUACAAGCCAUACAUGAAUACCGCUUACAGAAGUCUUAUUGUGAUUGCAACUGCAGAUUGCAAGUGGAAGGCUCAGCUAGGUAACAACUCUGCUGCUUUAUUUGAUUAGAGAUGUAGCG